CUCUUAGAUGUUCUGGGCUGCACGCGCGCUACACUGAUACUGUCAGCGAGUCCACCACCUUGCCUGGGAGGGUGGGGUAACCUCUGGAAAGUGGAUCGUGAUGGGGAUCGAUCAUUGUAAUCAUUCCUCUGCAACGAGGACUUCCUAGUCAGCAUGUGUCAUCCGCCCGUGCUGCUUACGUCCCUGCCCUUUGUACACACCGCCCGUCGCUCUUACCGAUUGAGUGAUCUGGUGAAUUCUUCGGACUGCAUCGUUUUCAAUUCCUGAAUGCAGUUAUGGGAAGUUUUGUGAACUUUGUCACUUAGAGGAAGGAGAAGUCAUAGCA
rnacentral:rRNA from 1 species